AAGAGUGUUGUUAAAGUGUUCAUAGAGCAUAUUUCUAAUUUACAAAAGGGUAAAAGAAACUGAGUUAAAGGAGUCGAGUUACAUCCGGGUCUUUCUGGAGUGUUCUGUGAUUUUGUCAAUCUCCUUGGCCAGGUUUUUGUUUUGGGUUUUGUUUGUUCCCUUUAUCUUUCCAUGUGCUGAUGCUGGAGCUGUUGAUGUGUUCUGGAUUUGUCCCAGCCUUCUGUGAGUUUUGAGGGUUUGGACUGGCGAGCCGUCCCCGAGUCUUACUUCGAUUUUCUGUGACACAUAGGAAAACUGUUUUGUACAUCUGAACACUACAUAUAUGGUAGGACACUGAAACACUUUUCUUGUUUCACUUGGAUGGAUUCUGUCUUCCUGUAGACAGAUAACACACACAAUUCAUCUGUAUGGACUACCUAAAGGACUGAGAAACUGAAAAAAAAGGGUUUACACUGAACUAAUUACAUUUCAUUGAACUAUUGUACAUUGUUUUGAAUUACAGUGUUUUUGUUUUAUACAGUGUUGAAUUUGUGGUUGAAAUAACUCAGGUUUGAAUUUUGCACUUGUUAUUUUCUAAAUCUGAAAAAGAAGUGAAUUGAGGUACCAAGAAUUUUAUUGUUGUUUUAUUUAGAGUAAAUCACUUGGUUUACAAAGAAACAAACUAUAUACAUACCUGUUAACUACUUACCUCUUGAAAGGGAAAAAGGGGUGUGAUUUCAUGCACAACAAAAAGUGUUGAGUGAUACAACUUUGUUUUUUUUUAUAUCUGAAAUCAUUAUUUUGCUUUUAUUUGUACUAUUCUAAAUACAUACCUCAAUUAACAGUA